ACUCAGAUGGCACAAGAAGUUCCCAAUACUGGAAACAGAACUCCAGAAAAAUCUACGCCAUCUCUGAAUAUGACUUUGUAGAGUUCCAGAAUGGAAGAAGAGCUAAAGCAAGUCGAAGGGCUGAAGACAGUUUGAGUGCACAAGAGGUCAUUGGUAAAAUUAACCAACUAAAGCAAGCUGCAGAGAGCCUCCAAGACAUCACUACAACCAUAAACCAGCUGUCUGAGCUUGCAAAGUCCAAAACCACAAUGCCAGAUGCUUGUCUGCACACU